GAAAUCCCUCUUGGAGACAACGCCCGACUUGCUGCCAGCUUCGAGCCCAUCCCACAGGACUUCCUCCUUCCAUUGUAUGGAUGGACGGGAUGGGAGGAUUCAGGUCGAGGUGGCCGAUCACGAUGGCUGGAGUGGAAAUCUUAGUGCAAAAUCAGGGUUUAUUUAUAGAGACGUACUCAGCCCUUGUGGUUGUCCUCGGAGGCGCUUCGGUGGAGACAAGGUGAGUAACAACAUUUAUGCCAAACCCUAAUCCAGCCAAGGUACGUCUCAUUCUUCUCUGAUUGAAGCAACAUCGUCUGAGAUAUGGUUUUCUUGGAUCUGAAAUCUUCCUCUGAUUUUUGGUGCGAUGCUUUCCUAGAAUCGGUUUUUGUGGAAUUUUUGUUAGAAAUGGGGGGUUUCCUUCCUACAUGUUCUGAUUGGUAGUUUAAUUGAUUUUCAGGACUGUAUGUAUUUUAUAUAUAUAUAUUUUUUAUGUUUACACUUUUUUAGAUUUUGAUUUUCUUGUGUUUUUCUGGUAAUUUCAAUUUUUCUGCUUCUUUUUGUGGUCUGUACGAAGAAAUAAAGCUUAAUAUGAUGUAAAAAUGGAUACCCAGAUAGGGUUUUGAUGGGUUUCUAGCAAUGCUUGGAUUUCAUGAUGUCUACACUUCUUUGACUUUUGAUUUACAAGUGGAUACUAGUUGUAAUUUUAGUUUUUAGUUUUUUUUUUUUUUUUUGGUACUGAGUUCUUGAACUUUGAAUGAUUAGUUUCUUGAAUUUUAAUAAUAUUAUUAUUAUUUUUUAAAAAUAUCUACUCUUCUUUAAAUCUUGAUCUUCGUGUGUGUUUUUCUAGUAAUUUUAGUUUUUCUGCUUCUUUUUGGGGUCUGUACGAAGAAUCUAAGCUUAAUAUGAAGAAAAAACAGCUAUCCAGAUGGGGUUUUGGAUUGGUUUCUAGCAACGCUUGGAUUUCAUGAUGCCUGUACUUCUUUAACUUUUGAUUUACAAGUGGACACUGGUUGUAACUUUAAUAUUUUUUCUACGUUUUUUUUUCCUUGUUUGGUAUUGAGUUCUUGAACUUGAAAUGAUUAGUUUCUUGGAUUUUAUUUAUUGGUUUCGUGGAUUUUUCGGUGUCUACUCUUCUUUUGAUUUUUGAUCUUCAUGUUCGUUUUUCUGGUAAUUUCAGAUUUUCUGCUUCUUUUUGUGGUCUGUAUGAAGAAAUUCAGCUUAAUAUGUUGCAAAAACACAUACCCAGAUGGGGUUUUGAUUGGUUUCUAGAAAUGCUUGGAUUUCAUGAUGCAUGCACUUCUUUAGCUUUUGAUUUACAAGUGGAUAGUGGUUGUAAUUUUAGUAUUUUUUUCUGCCUUUUCUUUUCCUUGAUCGCUUGGUAUUGAGUUCUUGAACUUGAAAUACUGCAAAAACAAACACCCAUGUAGUGUCUAAUAACAAUAAACAUUAAUCCCAAUAAUCAUAUGCAUUAGUCUUUUUAAGGAUGUUCAUUUCGAAUAUUAACUAUUUUAGUGUGUUCUGUCUUUUGGUUCAUUACAUGUUUUGUAAACUCUCUCUGUUCCUACCAUCAUUCCAACUAACUGUGCCAUUUCUUGGCAUCAUAUAAUUCCCACAUCCCAUUUUUGUUCUCAUGUUGCUGCCUCAUGUUCUGCUCCUUUUCUUGAAAAUUGUUUUCUGUAAAAAAGGACUGACAGAAACUAUAGACUGUGUCAUUUUCCUUCAUUGUGAUAUAUUUUACUUAAAUACACUCCUUUCAUACAUUUGGCAGAUCAUUUUAGGAUACAAUUUAAAAAAUAAAUCAGACCCAACUCUUUUGGUAGACCACACCACGGAAAAUAGUUUUGAUUAAAUAGACAUCAUUAAAAACUUCUUGAGAACCAUCUGACUGUUUAUUUGCCAAUCCAACCUAUUGAUAAGGUGAAAAGGACAUGGAUGAAAAAAGUAAACAAAUAUUAGAAACUCUAUAUCUUCUGUGGGCUAUAAGAACUUUUUAAUAGUCAGUCACCACUAACUCCCAUGGUAUAUUCUACUUAAGAUUUAGAUCGGCUUAGCUUUUGAGUUUGUGCUCUAAAAUGAGAUGCCAAAACAGAUGUAUAACAUAAAUUUAAGGAACACACAUUUACAGUGAGCCCCACAGGGUGUGGAUUGAGUAAUUCCCUGGACAGGAGGUCUGAAAGGGGCUUUGUAUGGCCUAAUGAAAUUUUUUGUUUGAUCCAUCCUAUCCAUCUAUUUUAUAAAUCAUUUUAUGGCAAAAGAGCAAAAGAGAAAUAAAUUAAAUAUUCUCCUGUGUUACACGACAGGAAGCAAUAGGUUUGAAAGCUUAGUGUUGAAAACUCUUCAAAAGGUAUAUAAGUUUUGUAUUAAGCUAAUUUUUAUAUUUUUAGAUUUUUUUUUUCUUGAGUUUCAGUACUGACUCUGAAACUGUUUCAUUUCCUAUAUUUUAUAUAGCAUCGUCACUGAAGCCUGUAUAGUGUAACUUCUAUUAAUUUGAAUCCUAAUCUACUUGAUGGUUUUUCAUGUUAUAUGUUAACUGUGUUCAGUCUAUUAUGUAAACUACCCCUUGUAAAUGGUUCAUUUCCAUCUCCAUAUAUUUGAUUCUUCUUGGGCCAUGAGCUUGUUGGCAUGGAAUGUCAUUGCCCUCGCGUAAACCAAAUAAACAUCUGCUGAUGUCCUACAUGUUCAUGCUUCAACUGUGACAUUUCAAUGUAUAUCCUUGAAGGAUGUUCAUUUUAUUUUUCUAUAUCUGCGUACUAGUAGUGGAUAAUUUCGUAUUUCUCUGUCAUUUCCUUUAUUCUUUUUAAGGAUGUUCAUUUCCAAUAUUAACUGCAAUUAGUACAUUCUGUAAAUUGCUUCAUUACAUGUUUUGAAAAAUCUCUCUAUUCCUACUUUCAUCUCCUUCUAACUGUGCCAUUUCUAGGCAUCAUAUAAUUUUUAUUAACUUAUGUUCUCAUGUUACUGCCUCAUGUUAUACUCCAUUGCUUAAAUAGUGUUUUAUGUAUAAAAGAACUAACAGUAUCUUAUAGAGUUUGUCAUUUUCCAACCACAUCUAACUGGUUCACUUCCAACUCUAGUGUUUUAUAUAGCAUGGUCAUUAAAGUCUGUAUAAUCUAAUUUAUAUUAAUUUGGAUCCCAUUUUACUUGUAUCAAUAUAGGAUUUUCAAUUUAUAGGAUCUCCUUUACAAUAUCAAUGCAGACUUUGAAUCUGAUGUAUAUUUAAUACAAGCAUCUUCUGUUAACUUAUGUUUUCAUGUUUACUGCCUCAUGUUCUGGAUAAUUGAUUAUGUACUACAAUCUGUAAUGUCUGAAGAAAUAGGAUUUUGCUUGGUUUUCAGUACAGGCUCUGAAACUGUUUGAGUUUCUUCAUGUUUUAUAUAACACUCUUAUUUUCUUAUAUGUUGGAAUUUCUGUAAACUCGGAUCAUAAUCUAUUUUCACAGAUUGCAUGUUCUUUGUUAACCAUGAGCAGUAUUUACUGGGCAGUCUGUAAACUGGUCUUGAACCAUUGGAGUUGGGCAGUCUGUAAACUAGUCCUGAACCAUUGGAAUUGGGCAGUCUGCUUGACUGUCAAUCAUCUGGGGAUUGUUCAUCCUAUAUUUUCACUUACAAGGAUUUUUCCUUGUAUCAUUUUCGGCGGAAGUAGAUAUCGAGCUUUCAAGAAUUGGAAGGAAGUUGCUGCAUGUUGGGACAGUUACUUCGGUAAUACCAGUGCACAGUUGGGACUUGGACGAGGAUCUCAUGCGGGAUAUAUUGCCGCAUAUUCUGAUGAGUUUGACAUCCAUCAUUCGUUAAUUUUGUCUAUCCAACAGACGACCCAGGCUAUGGUUUUUAGGGCUACGUCGACUGAUGAUCCCACUCCGUCUUUUGGAGAGAGAUUAUGUGCAUUUCUGAUUGUCGUCCUGGUUCUUUUCUUUGCGUUGUUUAUUAUUUUUAAAUUCUAGGUAUUAGUGGUUGUGUACCUGAUUGAAGAAUGCUUAUUUUGAACUGUUUCUUUAUGGUGGUUGAUUUGAUUACAUGGGUA